rnacentral:rRNA from 1 species
GAUGAACGCUGGCGGCGUGCCUAAUACAUGCAAGUCGAGCGAACGGACGAGGAGCUUGCUUUUCUGAUGUUAUCGGCGGACGGGUGAUUAACACGUGGAUAACCUACCUCUAAGACUGGGGUAACAUCGGGAAACCGGAUCUACUGCCGGAUAAUAUUUUGAACUGCAUGGUUCAAGAGUGAAAUACGGUCUUGCUGUGACUUAUAGAUGACUCCGCGCUCGAUGAACUAGUUGGUAAGGGAACGGCUUACCAAGGCUACGAUGCAAAGCCGACCCAAAAGGGUGGUCCGCCACACUGGCACUGAGACACGGUCCAGACUCCUACGGGAAGCCGCAGCAGGGACUCCUCCGCGAGGGGCGAGAGGCUGAUGGAGCAAAGUCGCGGGAAUGAUGAAGGUCCUCUGAUCGUAGAGCUCUGUUAUUAGUGGAGAACAAAAGUGUAAGUAACUGUGAACAUCUUGACGGUACCGAGUGAGAAAGCCACGGCUAACUACGUG